AAUGGUUGUUGUCUGAGUAUUAUUGAAAUAUAGAGAAAGAGAAAUCAAGAGCUGCUAAGAGUGACUUGAAAUUCAAAGAAUUAGUAGAGGUUAACGGGGCUUUCAAGUUUGAUGUUGCUGUCUAAAGUUAGGGAUUUGAGAAGGGUUAAGGCAAGAAGAUGAAUCCAGAAGAAGAGAAGGAAGAACGGGAGAAAUUCUGCUGCUUUCAUGGAUUGAUGAAGCCGGUGGAAUUAGAGAGUAAUAAAGAAGAACCUGAUGCUGUUGGAUAUAGAAAUAAAUGGCGGAGGUUGAAGAGAUGGGUUAAACUCGAUUUUGGUUUGAUUUUGGUGAAAAAAGAAAGGGGGUUUGAUGAAUUUAGGGUUUGAAUUGGUUUUCUGGGUUCAUGAGAAAUGAAGAAAUUGGUGAUGCUGAGGGGUUCUCUAACUAGGUUCUGCAAUGGGUUUGAAUCAGAAGCUGAGAAUAUGUAGCUGUUAGUUAAUGGCAGAGAAGCUGGUAAAAUUAAUGUUUGAGGCUUACAGGUGCAGGUGAUGAUGGGUUGAGCCACAGCUGAUGCUGUCAACUGUUGGCAGUGAAGAAUUUGAGGAGAUAAGGUUGACCUUUACAAAUAGAAUUGGAGGAUAAGAACUGUGCUGCUUUGAAGGAAUCUGAGAAUGGCAUCAGAUGUGAAUGAUAUGGGGUUUCUGAAGUGGUGUUUGAAGGUUGUUACAGUGAAAUAUUUGUUGCUGCUGGUGGAGAUGUUAAAGGGUUAUGAGAAGCAGCAGAUGAAUUGAAGCUGGUGGUUCAAGAUGAGCUGCAGAAGCAAUCGCAAGUGAUUAAGCAAGAUUAGAAGAAUGAGUUGAAGCCGCAAUUCAGGGAAGAUGGCUUGUGAAACAGAGAACAAGGGAAUUCAUGGCGCAGCCGUGAUUCUGAUGGGAACAGUUGCAAGCUGGUGAUAUUGGUGCUUGUUGUGAGCAGUAGAAGAAGAAUAGGAAGCUACAGGUUGAUAUUGGCCUAAUUGUGUACUAUGGAGUUACAAGGAUGGUGGUGCAGUUCAAAGCCAAGAAAGGUUGCUGGUGCCUGUUGAGCCUUUAUGUGACAGGAAUGGAUGUAAGAAUGGGUUUAUAGAUGAAUGUUAGGAUCCAGGUACAAAGUGAAGUGGCAGAGAUUCAAGUUACAAGAUAAGAGGAUGUUGUCGAUGCUGUUCUUCUUGAGUCAGGAUUGAGAAGCGCAGAAGAUGUUGAAUGAAGCAGUACUGGACAGAGUUGAAGGUGCACAGUCGAGAAAUGGAAUAUGGAAGUACAAUAAAAGUGUGGCUGAGGUUGUAUGCUUCAUAUGGUUAUGCGAGGAUUUUCAAGGAAUGCAGCGCCAUCUUGGCGCGAGAUUGAGCAAAGUUCUGUGGUGGUUCCGAGGUACAAACUACAGGGCCGCAGGGGUGCUGGUAGUGAUAUCUUGAACUUGAGUUAAAGCUGCAGAAUUGAGCUGAGCUUGGUUGCAUUUGAGCUGAACUGAGACGGCAAAGGUUCUGGUGGAGUGAUGCACCGUCAUGGAUGACACUGGAGCUGUUUAUGGUGAAAUUGCAAUGGAACCGGUUGUGUGUGUGAUGAUUGGUUGAAGAAUGAAGGAGUUAGUGAUUUGUUGGGUUAGAUGGAAACUGGAUGAAGAACAAACAUAUGGGUGGACCUGAACUGUUGUCGUGGUUGGAUGUGUACAAGGCAUGAUUGCCAUUGGAUAGGAGUUGGUUUGAAGUAGGUUGUCGGUUCUUUAGAACUGACAAGCCAAAUAUUCAGUGAGCUAAUGGGCUGGACUGGAAUUGCCUAGAGUUGUGGGCUGAGUUAAGACAAGUAUGUAGUCAAGUUUUAAACGUGACCAGUUGAAGCAGUUAGGAGAAAAAAACAGGAAGUCUAUAAAAGGGUUUCACAUCUCAUGUAUGGGAGAUCUUAUCUUCUCUUCUAUUUUUGUCUAGGGUUUUAGAAACAUGAUACGUUUUUUUUUCCUUCUUGUUAUGAACUCCACUCUCAUGUUUAGAUAAUUCUUUUUUGGUUUAGGAAUAAGUUGGAGUUCCAACCAUGAUAUUUAUGCAAUGAAUUAGUUUUGUCUCCA